rnacentral:rRNA from 1 species
GACUCUUUAAGGACAAGUUAUGAUGAGGACCGAAAUAAAGUAGGGAAGUCCGCCAUGUCACGCUGCCAAGAAAAGCUUCUAGUUAGUGUUUACUUGCCCGUACCGCAACCAACACAGGUAGUCGAGGAGAGCAUCCUAAGGUGAGCGAGUGAACUCUCGUUAAGGAACUCGGCAAAAUGACCCCGUAACUUCGGGAGAAGGGUGCUCAGCGAAAGCUGAGCCGCAGUGAAUAGGCCCAGGCGACUGUUUAUCAAAACACAGGUUUCUGCAAAAUCGUAAGAUGACGUAUAGGGGCUGACGCCUGCCCGGUGCUGGAAGGUUAAAAGGAGUGCUUAGCGCAAGCGAAGGUAUGAAUUGAAGCCCCAGUAAACGGCGGCCGUAACUAUAACGGUCCUAAGGUAGCGAAAUUCCUUGUCGGGUAAGUUCCGACCCGCACGAAAGGCGUAACGAUCUGGGCACUGUCUCAACGAGAGACUCGGUGAAAUUUAAAGACCCGUGAAGAUGCGGGUUACCCGCGACAGGACGGAAAGACCCCAUGGAGCUUUACUGUAGCUUGAUAUUGAGUGUUUGUGCAGCUUGUACAGCAUAGGUAGGAGCCGUUGAAGUCGGAACGCUAGUUUCGAUGGAGGCACAGGUGGGAUACUACCCUCGUUGUAUGACCACUCUAACUCACACCACUAAGCGUGGUGGAAGACAGUGUCUGGCAGGCAGUUUGACUGGGGCGGUCGCCUCCUAAAAGGUAACGGAGGCGCCCAAAGGUUCUCUCAGAAUGGUUGGAAAUCAUUCGCAGAGUGUAAAGGCACAAGAGAGCUUGACUGUGAGACUGACUAGUCGAGCAGGUACGAAAGUAGGGCUUAGUGAUCCGGUGGUUCCGCAUGGAAGGGCCAUCGCUCAACGGAUAAAAGCUACCCUGGGGAUAACAGGCUUAUCUCCCCAAGAGUCCACAUCGACGGGAGGUUUGGCACCUCGAUGUCGGCUCAUCGCAUCCUGGGCUGUAGUCGGUCCCAAGGGUUGGGCUGUUCGCCCAUUAAAGCGGUACGCGAGCUGGGUUCAGAACGUCGUGAGACAGUUCGGUCCUAUCCGUCGCGGGCGUAGGAAAUUUGAGAGGAGUUGCCCUUAGUACGAGAGGACCGGGGUGAACGUACCUCUGGUGUAUCAGUUGUUCCGCCAGGAGCAUCGCUGAGUAGCUAUGUACGGAUGAGAUAAACGCUGAAAGCAUCUAAGUGUGAAACUCGCCUCGAGAUGAGAUUUCCCAUUCUUUAUGAAGUAAGACCCUUGUAGAUGACAAGGUAGAUAGGCUAGAAGUGGAAGUGCGGCGACGCAUGGAGCGGACUAGUACUAAUGGUUCGAGGACUUAACCAA